rnacentral:rRNA from 1 species
UACGUAGGGGGCUAGCGUUGUCCGGAUUUAUUGGGCGUAAAGAGCGUGUAGGCGGCCAGGUAGGUCUGCUGUGAAAACUCGAGGCUCAACCUCGAGACGUCGGCGGAAACCAUCUGGCUAGAGUCCGGAAGAGGAGAGUGGAAUUCCUGGUGUAGCGGUGAAAUGCGCAGAUAUCAGGAAGAACACCAGUGGCGAAGGCGGCUAUCUGGACGGUUUUCUGACGCUAAGACGCGAAAAGCGUGGGGAGCAAACAGG